CAGCAGUAGCCGCGGGAAUACAGAGGGUGCGAGCGUUAAUCGGAUUUACUGGGCGUAAAGCGUGCGUAGGCGGCUAAUUGAGUCGGAUGUGAAAUCCCCGAGCUUAACUUAGGAAUUGCAUUCGAUACUGGUUAGCUAGAGUGUGGGAGAGGAUGGUAGAAUUCCAGGUGUAGCGGUGAAAUGCGUAGAGAUCUGGAGGAAUACCGAUGGCGAAGGCAGCCAUCUGGCCUAACACUGACGCUGAGGUACGAAAGCAUGGGGAGCAAACAGGAUUAGAUACCCGAGUAGUCCCUGUCUCUUAUAC
rnacentral:rRNA from 1 species